GUCCGCGGCUUGUGUGCCGCGAGGAGAGGCGCAAAGGGUGACACACCAGGAAAGGUAGCAGGCAAGAGUGUGGUUAUCGUUGGACCAGGAUUCAGGAUCUGACUGAGUAGCUGACUCUUAAUCCAGUUUGUGUUGAUCACCAGGAGGAUCUGGACCUCAGUAUUACCACAUCUAGAGCUAUAAUCACAUCCCUGUUAAGCCUUCCUGAGAUCACACCAAAUGUCCUUGAUGGGAAUUGUAAACAACCCUUACUUCUGGUUUCUAAUGAUAUUCCAGGAAAGGAGCCUAACUAGAGUCAGUGAUAUGCCAACUCCACCUUUGCCUUCCACCAUGUUUGGAAGCUCCCUGAGGCCUCACCAGGAGCAGAUGCUCGUCCCAUGCUUCCUAUAAGCCUGCAGAACUGUGAGCCAUAAUAAACUGUGAAUUAUAAAUUGCCUUUAUAGCAAUGCAAAUGGACCAGUACAGAUGGGAUGCUGGGAAGACAGUUGUUUCCACCUUCAGUAAAGUCCGUGGAACACAGUUGUGACUAUAUUCUAGGCCAGCCAAGAUGCUUGUACUCAGAAAGGAGUGGUCUCAGGACCAUAAGAAAGUGAAAAAAUAAAAAUAAGAAAAUAAAGAAGGGAUUGUCAAUGAAUCAGAAUUCAUCAAGGUCAAAGUCUUAGGAAAUUCCUUCAUGAGGAAGUCUAGGGGGGCUAUGGAAAUGAAAUUUUUAAACAAAUAGGUAUGUGGUGCUGGCAGGAAUAAAUUAUGGACUUAUGAAUAUAACAUAAGAUUCUUUAUUACCUGGUCUCACCCGUCUUUCCACCUCUGCCCCCCUUCUUGCCCGACUCUGUGUAUCACCCAUAAUAAACUACUUACAGCUUCCUAGUGUUAAAUUUACCCUAAAGCUGCCUCCUUCAAUAUUUUAAGUUUAACCUAAAGGUUCUUCAUACAUAGUGAACUAUAACCCAAUGAUUAAACAGAUUGUAACCUACUCUUGUACCAGUCACCAAGUUUCAGCCAAUCAGAGGUGGCCAACUGUUCAAACCAUGCUCAAAUAAGGGAAAUGUCAUGGUGUAACUAAUCCAGCUGUUUCUAUACCUUACUUCUGUUUUCUUAGGUCACUUUCCUUUUUUGUCCAUAAAUUCUCUCCAACCACUCAGCAGCACUGGAGUCACUCCAAAGCUAUCCUGGUUCAGGGGUCUGUCUGAUUCACAAGUCAUUCUUUGUUCAAUUGAGCUCUGCUAAAUUUAAUUUGUCUGAAGUUUUUCUUUUAACAGAUGGUGUCAGAAAUGGACCCCAAAGUAGAGCUCCCAGUGAUCCCCCAGGAGCACUGAGUGACCACAAGGGGUACCUGCUGGGCCCGUCCUCUCGCAGUGUCCACUGCUCUCUUACAGCAACUGGAGAUUGUGGCUGCAUUCUCUCUCAGAUUCUGAAGCUCCAUACAUUGCCGUUUUCAGCUGUUCAAGCUUGCUUGAGCAAAUUUUUGAUCUUAGCUGAGUUUGGAAGUCGAUAGACAUUGGACUGGGUCCAGGAUUUGAUUGGAUCUGAUAAUUAACUGGCUUGGAUCCAGUUAGAUGCCUCGGUUAUCUGACUGGGUCAGAUAGAAACCGCCAGUAAAUAUUUUAAUAACAAUACUGCAGGGGUAUGAACUCUGGCUUUAAGAAACUCACAAGGAAUUUUAUGUUCUAUACCCUUUGUUUCUUUUUCUUGUGUGCUUCGGUCAGGAAAAAUCAUUAGUCAAGUUAAUCAAGGGGAUCUGAGAGCCAAAUACAAGAUUCAACGUAAAAAUGGAAUCCUUGGGCUAGGCGUGGUGGCUCAGGCCUGUAAUCCCAGGACUUUGGGAGGCUGAGGCAGGCGGAUCACCUGACCUUAGGAGUUCGAGACCAGUCUGGCCAACAUGGUGAAACCCCGUCUCCACUAAAAAUACAAAAAUUAGCCAGGCGUGGUGGUGGGCACCUGUAAUCCCAGCUACUUUGGAGGCUGAGGCAGGAUAAUCACUUGAACCCAGGAGGCAGAGGUUGCAGUGAUCUGAGAUUGCACCACUGCACUCCAGCCUGGGCAAAAGAGCGAGACUCCAUCUCAUAAAUAAAUACAUAAAUAAAUAAAGAAAUCCUUAAUUUCUGCGGAACUGAGUGCUCUACCUUCUGGCUACACCUACGUAUACCUGUAUGAGGUAUAGGCCCUGGAAGCAGCAAACACUUACAGAAAUGGUGAAAUCUUACUAAAGGUAAUCUAAAGUUAUGGUGGAACAUCCCAAAUGAACAACACUGCACUUUAGGAAGUACAUAUAAAAAUGAAGUCUCCCAAUUUAGUAUUAUUCAGGGAUGGCUGUUGAAGUUCAGAAGCUUCUAAAAAGAUUCCAAUAAUUUUACAGAUUCUUUUAAAAGAUUCUUUGUAAAAGGCAAAUAAAAAGCUUAAGUGACUAAUCAGAAAAAUUAGGUCUUCUAACCUUUUGUCAUUGUUACUGUCUUGCCCUGAAAGGGAAAAGAAAGCUGGAUAAAGUAUUUAUAGAAGAUAGAGGACCUGUGGUGGCUCAUGCCUGUAAUCCAAGGUGGAAGGAUUGCUUGAGGCCAGAAGUUCAAGACCAGUCCAAGCAACAUAGCAAGGCCCCAUCUCUACAAAAAAUGAAAAUAAAAUUAGCCGAGCGUGAUGGCUCAUGCCUGUAGUUCUAGCUUCUAGAGAGGCUGAGGCAGGAGGAUUGCUUGAGUCCAGGAGUUCAAGAUUACAGUGAGCUAUGGUCACACCACUGCACUCCAGCCUGGGUGAUGGAGUGAGACUGUCUCAAUAAAAAGACAAAAAGGUAAGCCCUUAGGUAAAGUAAGCUUGCUUCUUUGUUAGAGCUAUCCAUGCUGAGUCCAGGCAAAGAAAAUGCUUUCUUUGGCCUGGUGCGGUGGCUCAUGCCUGUAAUCCCAACACUUUUGGAGGCCAAGGUGGGCAGAUCACAAGGUCAAGAGUUCAAGAUGAGCCUGACCAACAUGGUGAAGCCCCAUCUCUACUAAAAAUACAAAAAUUAGCCA
ensembl:lncRNA RASSF8-AS1 RASSF8 antisense RNA 1